UCACUCCACCGCGAUACGUGGUCUGU
rnacentral:piRNA from 1 species